UACAGAGGUCCCAAGCGUUGUUCGGAUUCACUGGGCGUAAAGGGUGCGCAGGUGGCAUGACAAGUUCGAUGUGAAAGCCCCGAGCUUAACUUGGGAAUUGCGCUUGUGACUGGCGUGCUGGAGUGUGGCAGAGGGAGGUGGAAUUCCACGUGUAGCAGUGAAAUGCGUAGAGAUGUGGAGGAACACCGAUGGCGAAGGCAGCCUCCUGGGCCAGCACUGACGCUCAUGCACGAAAGCGUGGGGAGCAAACAGG
rnacentral:rRNA from 1 species